AUUCACUCCCUUACUCCGAAUGGU
rnacentral:siRNA from 1 species